rnacentral:rRNA from 1 species
GAUAAACGCUGGCGGCGUGCCUAACACAUGCAAGUCGAACGCCCUUUUGCGCAAGUGAGAGGGAGUGGCGGACGGGUGAGUACCACGUGGGUACCUACCUUGAGGUGAGGAAUACCACCGAGAAAUCGGUGACAAGACCGCAUACGCUUGGCAACAAGCAAAGUCUCGCAAGAGACGCCACAAGAUGGGCCUGCGCCUGAUUAGCUAGUUGGUGAGGUAAUGGCNCACCAAGGCGACGAUCAGUAGCUGGUCUGAGAGGAUGAUCAGCCACACUGGGAUUGAGAAC